rnacentral:misc_RNA from 1 species
GGGGAGAAAUGACGUAUGACUCUAUAACCAUGUGUGAACGUACCUAUCUUGUAGUGAGAUGAAUGCUGUUUUGGUGGUAGGGCCCUUCUGAAGAGAGGGCACCGCUGCCAGCAGUAUAGUCUCACCACUAUAAAACUCUUUUAUUAUUUUCUAGAUUUUUCAUUGCUGAGUGGCAUAACUAUAAAAAAGUUAAAACUUUCAACAACGGAUCUCUUGGCUCUAGCAUCGAUGAAGAACGCAGCGAAAUGCGAUAAGUAAUGUGAAUUGCAGAAUUCAGUGAAUCAUCGAAUCUUUGAACGCACAUUGCGCCUGGCAGUAUUCUGCCAGGCAUGCCUGUCCGAGCGUCAUUUUGGAGGUCCUGUUCUCCCCUGAACAGGCCGCCGAAAUGUAUCGGCUGUUAUACUUGCCAACUCCCCUGUGUAAUAUAAAAUUUCUAAAUUUUCACACUUUCAAAUACUGGUGUGAACCACCACAAAACCCGCACUACUUUUGUAGAAAAGUUCUCAAGGUGGAGGUCUU